UUCCACCGGCCAAACUCUCUGCCUGUAUAUACCAUCCCUGUGGAGGCUGUGUUAUCAUCUUCCAUUUUCUCACCAUUCCGAUCGAACCACCGUCGCCGGAAACUAUGCCUUCUCUGGCAAGUUUCUGGUGAGUAAUUGGAGUAGUCCCCGUCAUUGUCCUUUUGUCGAAAAAUCCCUCAAUCCGCCAUGGUUCGCUCACAAGCGACAAAACAGAUGGUAAAGAUUGCAGGACAAAGCUUUAGUCAGUACAGAAAUUGCUGAUGUUUACUGAUCAAAUUCGCCUCUCUUUUUUCCUAGUAAGACGUUUUGGAGUGUUCCGUUUCGAUUUGGUGAGGAUUCUGGAUAAGGAAAUUCUGAAAUUUUGAUUAAUUAAGGGAAAUUCGUCGAAAUGUUGUAUUGACUAGUAAUGGACACACACUCAUCUGGAGAAGACUUCCUCAUCAAGGCAUGAAAGCCCUAUACUACUACCAAGCAACGAGAGCGAUGGACAGAAGGGGAGCAUAAUAAGUUUCUUGAGGCCCUGAAGCUUUAUGGCCGAGCAUGGCAGCGCAUUGAAGGUUACGAUACAUUUGCUUUAUUUUUAUCUUAUCUGAUUUGUUUGUUUCAUUACUUACAGCUACUGAGAGAGCUGGAACUUGAUUUGUUUGCAUUCAAUGUGUAAAAUUCUUGUUGAGAUUGAGCUAAAUCUGCUUGAUAGCUCUUGUUAGAAACGACUUCAACUGCUACUUUUCAUGUAUUUCUUUUCUUUAUUUAGUAACAUCAUCCUAUUUUCACCCCCUUUUUUCUUCUGUUUUUGAUUUGCAGAACAUAUUGGAACAAAGACUGUUGUGCAAAUCAGAAGCCAUGCUCAGAAAUUCUUUUCAAAGGACUUAGAAUCGUGGCAUAUAAUCCUGGCGUCAAAGCACUUCCGCAUCAGCAUCUUCGAGUCCUCUCGGUGUCCAAAGGGUUAAUGUGGCAAAGAAGUGCAUUUUGGAGCAUUUUUGGGC